CAAAUAAAUAAAUAGAACAAAACAGGAAAAAGCGACAAGUAUGUUUAUUUAGACGUGAGAAUAAUGAAGCCCAAGGAGAAGUUGCAGCCCUCACUCACAGACAUUCAGCACGGGAGAACAAGCAACAGCUGGGCUGUAACUUCUACCCCCACUAGAUUCAACUAAUUAACAUGUGAAGCCCCUUUGCAUACCACUAAUUUUAAGUGCGAAGUAACCUCUGCUCAUAGCAGCUCAGCAGACAAGUACAAGCAUCUGUAAGGCAAAUCAUUUUCUCUCCCAUCGUUUAAAGUACCUCCUGACGAAAUAUCAGUAUAUAAGUUACAAUUUUAGUGGUGGAACGCCGAAAGGUAUCCCAACAAAAACGGUUUUAAGUUCAAAUUUUAAUUAGAAGAAACUGAAACAUAUCUGAUGAUUUAGGUGCAACAUAAAGUAGUAAUAGAAUUGGGAGUUUCUCCUGCAAGUCCUUAUUGGUUUUUCUCUUUCCUGCCAUGCAGUCGGCCCCUCCGAGAAGUCAAAAGGGGGUUUUAUGGUGGGCUUAAGACUUUGUUUUAUGGUCUGACAAUAGAGAUUGCUCAGAAUAGUGUAGUGACUUUAAAAUUACAACUUAUAACCUU